rnacentral:lncRNA from 1 species
CCAGAACCGGGGCCGCCCUGCGCGAGACCACAAACGACAGCGAAGAGCGUUAGGCUGUGGCCGGACAGUGGCGGCGCCGACACUUCCUGCCUGAAGGGGCGGAGCGGAAGGCGCACCGGAAGGCUCGGCGGGACCAAGUGGAACGGGGGAUUUCCCUCAUCUACCUUUCUUUGGGAGAUACGACUAAAACCAACAAAAGCCAAGUUUGGUAAAUAAGAAGUUUAAACAAGUGCUUCUCUGUACAGCUCAUCCACUUCCUCAUCUGUAAACCGAUCCCCCAUGGUUGUCAGCAGCUCUCUCAAGUAAUCUUCCUGAAUGGUGCCUGGAGAAUAAAGAACAAGGGAUCAGAAUACAUACUAUUCUGAGGGUUAAUUACAAAGAAUAUCUAUACUCAACUAAGCAUGUUCUGUAUGUUACAAACUAUAAACAUGCAAAGAUAUAUGAACUACAGGGUGUCCACCUACUUAAAACAGCCUCAGCAGAGAAGUGCCUAGAAAAAUGCCUAGCUGCUUAGCAGCACUGCUCCGCUCUAUCAUUUGCUCUAUCAUUCUGCCUCCACAUUCAGCUUCUGAUCUCUUGAUAAGAGAGACUAAACCUAUGCCUAAACAAAGUAAUAAAAAGUAUGGUUAAAGAAUCUAAGCCUUACGGUUCCUUAAAGUGGCAUGAAUGGUCACAUCUUAUUCUACAAGCAAGUAACAUUUACCUGCCAGGCUAAAAUCAACACUACAUCAUACACAUCAAUAAAGUGGUACAGUGGAAAGAAUACUGGAAACUUGAGGCCCAGUUUUAACAAGCUAUUUUAUUUCAGGCAUUUCACUUUAUCCCUGACUUUGGUUUUCUCAGAUGUAAAAUGAGAUUUUUACUGUUUACAA